rnacentral:rRNA from 1 species
UAGGGAAUCUUCGGCAAUGGGGGGAACCCUGACCGAGCAACGCCGCGUGAGUGAAGAAGGUUUUCGGAUCGUAAAGCUCUGUUGUUAAGGAAGAACGAGUGUGAGAAUGGAAAGUUCAUGCUGUGACGGUACUUAACCAGAAAGGGACGGCUAACUACGUGCCAGCAGCCGCGGUAAUACGUAGGUCCCGAGCGUUGUCCGGAUUUAUUGGACGUAAAGCGAGCGCAGGCGGUUAGAAAAGUCUGAAGUGAAAGGCAGUGGCUCAACCAUUGUAGGCUUUGGAAACUGUUUAACUUGAGUGCAGAAGGGGAGAGUGGAAUUCCAUGUGUAGCGGUGAAAUGCGUAGAUAUAUGGAGGAACACCGGUGGCGAAAGCGGCUUUUUGGCCUGCAACUGACACUGAGGCGCGAAAGCGUGGGGAGCAAACAGG